GAAGGAGUCAGGGAAACUCCGUUUGAAUGAGGGAGCCUUUUAUUCAGCACCAUCAGAAGAGGCUGUUUAUGGCAGCAUACCGGUGUCUCCUGGGUCUCCUGGGAGCCUCUGUGUGUUGCGGCGCCAUAGACGCUUGUAGGUCAGCUGUGCAGAACACACGAUGUUUAACAUAUUUCACUUGUCCACAUUUACUUGUUUUGGAUGGGUGGCCAUGUCUGCUGGAGACAUGAAAACCCCUGUUCUGCAAAUCCCAAGAGCACGUGAACAUGACCCAAUAUCAAAUUGCAUUUUGUCGUUGCUAAGAAGAUGACACGGAGAGGUCAAGAGAGGUUAAAGAAAUCGGUGAGCCCACCAAGGGGCCCCCAGCAAGUCAUGCAGAAAGGGUCCCCCAGGUUGGGUUUACACUGCGACACACUUGGAGCUGCUCGCCGCCUCCUUUUCUUCCCAGGAAACAACGGGGACCCCCAGCUACAGUGAAGCACAGACCCAUGCAGCAAUACAAACUGGACCGUAGUUUUUCCAAUACAAACACACACUCAUCAAGCGGCUCUCUCCCUUUCUUCCCACUCCCUCCCUCAUGGCGCGCUCUCCCUCCUCGGCCCCCGUUCAUUCAGACAUAAUCAACGCAGUUGUGCUUCAGUGCACAGAUUACGAUAAUGAGCUAUGGCAAGGCGGUAGGCAAGAGGGGAAGCACAGUGAGAGUGGGAGAGGGAUGGUGGAGUGACAAAACGAAGAGAGCCGAGUAGUAGCAGCAAUUAGUGCUUCUUACAAGUAGCAGUGCUCUGAGUAAAUGUGCAAAGUUAAAUAAAUCAUAUGUUGU